UGUGUCUCUCUCUGCUAGUUGUUGUUGCUCCAGUUCUCCCUUCAUUUCUGUUGGUUUAGUUUGGUUAUGUCGUUUCAGUUUAUUGUUCCGAGAGGUCUUUCGAGAAGUUAGCUGAUAGGGCAAGUGCUGACACGUGACAUGUUGUUGCGUGUUUGUGUGGCGCUGAUUAACCCGGGUAUUGCAGCUGUGUGGGGGAUGAUAUUCACUCAGGAGAUGUCUCAGAUGAUUCAUGUCUCCAGCAGACGUGGCUAUGACACGCUGAUGGCUGCAAACCAGACGUCUUCUACACAGAGAACACUACUGAAGACGCUGACGGACUGUUCUUGUUCUCCUACCAUACAAACUUUUGUACAUACACCUUUUGAAACCUAAAGUACAACAAUGAGGAAGAGCAGCGGUUGGUCCCGUGAGGACGUCGACGGAGCACGUGGGGCAGUGCACCACGGAGAGGCGGCGUGGCCACUGAAGCAAGCAGACCUCUUCAGACGCCAACGCAUGCAGCGUCUGGACCUCCUGUUCCUUGUUGUGUUUGGAAGGAACCUCAGAGCUGCAGAGUUCAGAUCAUCAGAGUCCACAUUCUGUAGAUCAAUAAAGUAUUUAGUAUCACAUAUCUCACACACUGGAACUACUUUUUUCAGAAGGCAGUGUAGAAUCUGUACUGGCUCGGGUUAAUGAUUUAAACCAAAGUUAAACAUAUAUUAUUAACUACUGUAAUACUUCACCUUGUUUCUUUCAGGAUGCAGUUCUUCUUUAGCAGCUAUGUGACAAAACAUACACCUGAUUAGUUAACUGACCAAAUACUUAGCAGUGGAUUUGUCUGUUAAAACGUAAUACAACUGAAUGUGCAACAAGUGAUACGUCUGUACCUUUCUGAAGUUUCCUGUUUUUAACAGACAGAACAAUGACAGCUAUCAUGAAGAAAACAGUCAGAACACCCAGGAUCACAAUCAUGACGUUUGUCAUUCCAUCAGACUCCUCUACAAGACAAAAGACAGAAUUAGAAUCUGU